AAGUGGACUGGAAAUCCUAGCUGCUCCUUCUGUAGGGAGAAAGAAACAUCAAAACAUCAGUUCUUCUCUUGUCCUGUGGCUCGGGUGGUUUGGCGUUCAAAUGGGGUGGUGUUAGGAACUGAUACAUGUCCUGGCAACUAUUGGCAAUAUUUCUCUUUGUGCUAUUCCUUCCUUCCAGGCAAGGAGAAAUUCUACACUGUUGGCCUAGCGGCUGUGUGCUGGGCCAUUUGGCUUGCUCGUAACAGAGCUACGUUUGAGAAAAAGUUGAUUAAGACUCCAUUUGAUAUUGUCUUCUCCGUUUGCUCGUUUUUGCUGUACUGGGCAGGUCUUCAACAGGUGGGCGAUGCGCUGAAGCUUAGCGCUGGAGCAGAGAUGAUCAAGGGGAGUACGAUGAAGCUGAUGCAGAUUUGCGACUCGUCCAGGAGGCCGACUGCUGGAGAGUGA
rnacentral:rRNA from 1 species